rnacentral:rRNA from 1 species
CCUACGGGAGGCAGCAGUGGGGGAUAUUGCACAAUGGGGGGAACCCUGAUGCAGCGACGCCGCGUGGGUGAAGGAGCGUUUCGGCGCGUAAAGCCCUAUCGGCAGGGAAGAAGGAGGACGGUACCUGACUAAGAAGCCCCGGCUAACUACGGGCCAGCAGCCGCGGUAAUACGGAGGGGGCAAGCGUUAUCCGGAUGUACUGGGUGUAAAGGGGGCGCAGACGGCAGCGCAAGCCAGGAGUGAAAGCCCGGGGCCCAACCCCGGGACUGCUCUUGGAACUGCGCGGCUGGAGUGCAGGAGGGGCAGGCGGAAUGCCUGGUGUAGCGGUGAAAUGCUUAGAUAUUGCGCAGAACUCCGAUUGCGAAGGCAGCAUACCGGCGGCGAUCUGACGCUGAGGCACGAAAGCGUGGGUAUCGAACAGGAUUAGAUACCCCAGUAGUC